AGUGAACGCUGGCGGUAGGCCUAACACAUGCAAGUCGAACGGCAGCACAGUAAGAGCUUGCUCUUACGGGUGGCGAGUGGCGGACGGGUGAGGAAUACAUCGGAAUCUACUUUUUCGUGGGGGAUAACGUAGGGAAACUUACGCUAAUACCGCAUACGACCUACGGGUGAAAGCAGGGGAUCUUCGGACCUUGCGCGAUUGAAUGAGCCGAUGUCGGAUUAGCUAGUUGGCGGGGUAAAGGCCCACCAAGGCGACGAUCCGUAGCUGGUCUGAGAGGAUGAUCAGCCACACUGGAACUGAGACACGGUCCAGACUCCUACGGGAGGCAGCAGUGGGGAAUAUUGGACAGUGGGCGCAAGCCUGAUCCAGCCAUACCGCGUGGGUGAAGAAGGCCUUCGGGUUGUAAAGCCCUUUUGUUGGGAAAGAAAAGCAGCAGGUUAAUACCCCGCUGUCCUGACGGUACCCAAAGAAUAAGCACCGGCUAACUUCGU
rnacentral:rRNA from 1 species